rnacentral:rRNA from 1 species
GAUGAACGCUGGCGGCGUGCCUAAUACAUGCAAGUCGAGCGAACAGACGAGGAGCUUGCUCCUCUGAUGUUAGCGGCAGACGGGUGAGUAACACGUGGAUAACCUACCUAUAAGACUGGGAUAACUUCGGGAAACCGGAGCUAAUACCGGAUAACAUGUUGAACCGCAUGGUUCAACAGUGAAAGACGGUCUUGCUGUCACUUAUAGAUGGAUCCGCGCCGCAUUAGCUAGUUGGUAAGGUAACGGCUUACCAAGGCAACGAUGCGUAGCCGACCUGAGAGGGUGAUCGGCCACACUGGAACUGAGACACGGUCCAGACUCCUACGGGAGGCAGCAGUAGGGAAUCUUCCGCAAAGGGCGAAAGCCUGACGGAGCAACGCCGCGUGAGUGAAGAAGGUCUUCGGAUCGUAAAACUCUGUUAUUAGGGAAGAACAAAUGUGUAAGUAACUAUGCACGUCUUGACGGUACCUAAUCAGAAAGCCACGGCUAACUACGUG